GCGGAUGUGGCGGAACAGGCAGACGCGCCAGACUUAGGAUCUGGUUCGAAAGAGUGGGGGUUCAAGUCCUCUCAUCCGCACCA
rnacentral:tRNA from 1 species